GGUACACAUGCUACCCCUCAGCAUCCUUUGAUUAUAAAUUGAGAGAAAUGACGAAGAUUCACAAGUAGCAUCAAUAGCUUCUCAUAGUCCUUCAGCUACCUCCCUCCCUUUUUAUCAUCCCCAGCAGUGUUCUGUCAAAAUUAGAGUAUGACUCUGCAAGUAUUCAUUGGAAGAAAGCUCUGUUGAGUGCAGCCAUCCUAGAUGCCAGUACUUCUAUGAUGGGUCCUUUUUUAAUCUCUCUCUCUCUCCUUUUUUUUCUUUCCUGAGUAGAAUAGAAGGAAUGCAGACACCAACUAAAGAGAAGUCUGUUCUGAAGCAGACAAAACCCAUAACCAAGCUACUACAAAAGAAGUUCAGAUCUUCCACUAACACGUUCUGGGACUCCAAGUAGAUUUGUACUGCUCUCUUGGCCUGCAUGCUUAGUAAAGAGGUACUGCUCUUGGCAGAAAAGGGCUGAUAAUCAAAUCCCAAACUGUGCCCCAGCUGCACUUGAAUGUAACUCAACUACUCCAAUUCAGUACAAAGGCAAAGGUGAGAAGUAUAAGCUGGGGAAGAAGGUUAGGAACCAGCUCCCUCUGUUCCCAGCAUCCGCUCUCAGCUAAGGGCGUCUCAUGAAGCAACCUAGCACAGCACAUGGAAAAAACCUUCUCAGCACAUGCUGUCCUGAUACUACUACUUAAAAUCAGCUCCAUGCAGGAACCUCUGAAGUCCUUCGCUUGUCUGCCAGUAACCAAACACAAAGCUUACAUUUCUAACAGCUCCUACCCGUUGAUCCAAGUGCACAAGUUUGCCACUUGCAGUGACUGCCCUGAUCACCCACAGAGCUGACACAAUGAGCCAGUGGCUCAGCAGCUGCACCUGGCGGGUACAGCUGAAGAGCUGAAAUUAUGAAAUUAAGCUUGGGAUGGCUGACUUGCACAACUACAUCAAGGGAGCAGAAGGACAGCUGAUAACAGGAGAAUAAGAGAGCAUAUUGCCCUCUUCAUUAAACUUACUACUGUGUAAAACACUAAGCAAACCGGACAUGCUAAAAAUUAUCCUCUUUUUGCUGUUUUAAUGUUACAAGUGGGCCCUAUGGUCACCUGUCAUAAUAAAGGAUGCAUUGCAUUGGGGCUGUAAAUUCAUACUACAAAAAUAUUUUCCUGUCCCUUCCCUCCUGAAGAGGGAAAAACAAUUUGAUUAGGCUGGGGGAAAAAUGUCAAAUUCCAUUACAAACAACCUCCCUUAAAAUUACACUGUGUAUGUAAAAUAAAAAUAAAAAUUAAAAAAAAAAAUAGGAGUGAUUUGUGUUAAGUUCUCAUUGCUUCAACAGUUGCUUUCAAACCAUGAUGGAAAUAAAAAAAGUCUCAAGAUCAUGUACACUUUACAGAAAAGCUCUGUUCUCCAUAAAGUUGCACAGUUAAUUCAAAACACUUCAUUCACAAGCAAUACGCAACCUGAAUAUUUAUCCAUAUUCUGAUGAGCGAGGCUAGGGUUUCGUAUUUACUUCAUUUUCUUCAGAAUGGGACAUAAUUUCUUCUUAAAAAUCUGACUGGAACCUUUAAACAUCUGCAGCAAAGCUCCUUACUAAUACAGAUUCUGACUUGUUUCCCAAUGAUAGCUGUCAUGGGUUUUCCAAAAGAUUAAGCCUUCAGUGCUACAUUAAAAGUAGAGUAAAAUGAACUAAUUUAGAAGUGCAAAGUGAGAAUAUGGUAAUUUAAAAUUUUUUAAAAAGGAUAAAAUAAAUUAAAAAAAAAUCCACUUUCCAAUUUGCCACUAUGACAUAAGAGAAUCACUCUACUUUGUGUUUAUGAUAACUUUAGUGACAAAUCACAGUUUAUCCAGAGCUGAAAUAUCAGGAACUGAUGGGCAGUCGAACUCUGAAGUGCAUAAUCUUGUAACACCACCGUAUUGUGAAACUUAGACUGCAGGCAUGGAUCCAGAAUACAAUAAUUACGGGUUUGCUUCCAUCACAACCACCCUGGAAGAGACAAUCUUA
rnacentral:lncRNA from 1 species